rnacentral:lncRNA from 1 species
GACAUAUGUAUGUAUAUAAUUGUGGCUCAGCUCUCUCCAGGAAGCCAGAGCUCUGGCCAGAGGCAGUGCGACUGGGAGCCGGACGCAGCCCACUCCAGGGAGUCACUGUGGCCAACGCCCUACUCUCACUUUUCCUCACACACGCAGCUGCUCACAUCAGCAAUCUCGUGGACCAGAUGCCAGAAGCACUGUGUGGUUGUCCUGAAAAGCCAAACUCCUCCACCACCACACUUGCCAAAAUCGCAGAUUCACCUGGCAACAGCUUCUUUGUGCUGCUCUUUCCCAACCUGGAUCCCACAGGGCUGCCAUCGAUGGGCAAAGCCUUGGUGGUGACACUGCCUGCUGCCUGCAGGGAAGGAUACGGUUCAUGCAGCAGGAACAAAGCAGAUCCUGUCACUCCCUGCUGUUCAAUUUCACCAGGAAAACAAACUACCCAAGUUCCUUUUGCACCCUACAAGGGCCCUGGGCCAGCCCACCUCUCCAUUCUCAUCUUUUGCCUUCUUCGUCUGUGCUGUGUUCCGGUUAUACUCUUCUUGCUGUUUCCUGAUCCUCUGAGCUCUUGCUCAUUUCAGCCCAGCUGCAGCCUACCACACUCAUGCCAGCACCUCCCAUAGCUGCCACCUUCCAUUUUGCUCAGACCCAGCGCCAAUAUCACCUGCACAGAGAGGUGUGUCCUGACUGCCCAGGAACAUCACCCCACUGUUGCUAUCAUAUUCCCUUGCCUUAAUUUCUUCAUGGCACUUAGUAAUAAUUAUAGUCAAUUCUCAUUAUUUGUUGUAGGUUUGUUCUAUUGUUACCAUGAACACCAGAUUAGCAAAUAUGGAGCCAUUGCUCUCAGUGGAAAUUUAGAGUGAGGUUCCUAUGGGCCUGUGUUACAACAUUUUUGUCAACUGAUAACCCUGUUAUGUACAUCUUGUUUAACAUAUAUAUUAUAC